UACUCAAAAAACACCGCACGAUAUCUUUCACCUGCACUGGGCUAAAAUUCUUAGAUUCAAAUUUUUCGGUGGAAUAUUUAAAAACUUGCUUGGUCUACAAUGGGUUAAGCGUUCUCUGUCCAUGAUCGGAAAUCGCAUUCCAUGAUUUUGAUAUUACAAGCUAAUUUGAUUGUGCCUAAAAUAAGGUUAAUAAAACGUAAAUAAGUAAGAAAUUUAACUUAAGAUUGACAUGUUUUACAUAUCUAUGCAUUUGAUCGGUUUUCUGUACAUAUAUCGCGAUUCCUAUAUCUCUAUAGUACAUUAAUGGUUAGCUUUCUGUAUGAAGAAAUCAAAAAUAUUUCCUCAAUCCUAUAAUAUCCUUUUUCC